AGGCCACCUGGAGGUUCUUAAGGCAGCUGCAGCCAGGAAACCAGUCAAACAUUCCGGAAAAUUCCCGUUGCUGGAGCCUGGCAAAGAUAGAAGGAGGCAGGGGCGCCUGGCUGGCUCAGUCGGCAGAGGAUCCGGCUUUGAUCUUCGGGUUCCUUCCCCAAAGGGACUAACACCUACUUGCCGGGGUUGCCACUGUGCAUUGGAGAAGGAGAAAUAAUUAUACCUUUCAGAGAUUAUUGGAUGUGGACUCUCAACUGACUCCUGGAAACCUACCAUUCAGAGUAGCGGCUUAUGGAGCACAGGUGAUCCAUGCGGUUUUCACUCAGGUUCAUCUCACAGUGGACACAGUGGAUCAUUGAUGCCACCCUGCGGUUACUCGUCCAGUUCCAGAAUUAGAAUAGACAUGCUCAGCAACUGGCAGAAUUCUCACAUUGGUUCCCUAACCUGUGGAAUGAGGACUAUUAUGGCAGGAAAGGCUGAAUGGAAACCACUAGAACUUCUACCUAGGAAAACAAUAAACCAAAAGCAAUACUGCAUUCCUGGAAGGUUUGAAGAGAUUAGUGCUACCACUGAGGACUUGAAGGAUGCCAGGGGUGAUGAUUGGCACCAUAUCCGGACUCAACUCCCCUAUUUUGGCCUGCACAGAAAACAUACUAAUCUUGGAGAAUAAUAAACCUGGUUGUUUACUUUUCCUGGAAGGAGAGAUGGCCAGAGGCAUAAGUGUCUGCCAAUUCAUGGGUUGCAGCCAGUUUUGGUUAGAUGAUCAGGAGUUUGGAAAUUUGGAAAAUUUCACCAAUUGGAAAAUUGGUCUAACAGAAGCCCCGGCUCACUGAAGGUCAAGUUUGCCCACCAAGCCCAUGGAGACAGCACCAGCUCAGGAGCAGAAAACCAGCCUCCGAAUCUUUAUUCCUGGCCUGACUUCCCCCUGGACCAGACGGUGUGGCCAUAGUGCAGUGACCAUCACUGCUGUUCGCUCUGGAGAGUCUCCCCUGACGUGCUGACGGAGAAGUCCGCACCGGGUGCCCACUGUACAGGCCCCUCGUCUGCAGCUGCAGCGGCCACCGGGUGUGGAGCAGACACGUGUGGACUCUGGCCACCAGGCCCCAGGGCUGCUGCAGUACCUGUGAUACAUGGCUGCUCCCCAAAGGGCUCACAGGUUGGGUGAGGCACACAGAGGAAGCCAACCACCUGCAGCGGAAGGUGGAGUGGAAAAGUUUGGAGAAGGGCAUGCCAGAGUCCCGGGGGAACAGGAGGAGAUAAGCUGGAUAAAGCAGUAGAAGUUGGGAACUUGCCUGGGAAAGGGAAUGUGAAGAAGAAAUAAAAUUUCUGGAAAGGA